ACUUCUCCCUUCACUUUCUCUGCAUCACAAACAAUUCUCUUCAAUCCUCACAAACAAUAACAAAACCAAUGGAGCCAUCUGACUUCUUCAUGGCUGCCUACUACAACACUUCCGUCGUCCACUCCACCAACUUCUUGCCGACAGAGACCAACCCCACCGCCGACCAUGCUAAUUUCGCCGUCGACGACCUUCUUGAUUUCCCCACCGACGACGACGCCAUUAUGACCGAUGGCUUCUUCGACAAUCUUGCCAAAAAUUG
rnacentral:lncRNA from 1 species